UGGAGGACUGAGAAGGUUUAGCAGCUUGUAAGUGCUGUUUUAACUGGUUAUAACCUCCAAGAUUAACAAACAAACCACACCUGUAUCUGGCUCUGCCACAAGCUGAGCUGAUGUGUGUGUUUGUAACAACAC